GAGCGGGCGUAGCAAUACGUCAGCGGCAGACGGGUGAGUAACGCGUGGGAACGUACCUUUUGGUUCGGAACAACACAGGGAAACUUGUGCUAAUACCGGAUAAGCCCUUACGGGGAAAGAUUUAUCGCCGAAAGAUCGGCCCGCGUCUGAUUAGCUAGUUGGUGAGGUAAUGGCUCACCAAGGCGACGAUCAGUAGCUGGUCUGAGAGGAUGAUCAGCCACAUUGGGACUGAGACACGGCCCAAACUCCUACGGGAGGCAGCAGUGGGGAAUAUUGGACAAUGGGCGCAAGCCUGAUCCAGCCAUGCCGCGUGAGUGAUGAAGGCCCUAGGGUUGUAAAGCUCUUUUGUGCGGGAAGAUAAUGACGGUACCGCAAGAAUAAGCCCCGGCUAACUUCGUG
rnacentral:rRNA from 1 species